CAGUCGUACCUGCGGACAACCAGCUUUUUGAGUGUGAUUAUGUGGAUUGUGAGGAGUUUAAUCACCCUCAUGUUUUACGUAUUCGUGCUCUUGGGUGUACUUGCCCGUGUGGUUGGUUAACAUCAAUUUUGGUCGUCGUAAAAUGACUGGAGGAAUGUAGCUUUGGUCUCGUAUCGAAGUGUUAUAGACUCUGGUAGAUGUGACGUAUUGGGGAUUGGAGGAUUGCAACGGAUACCCUUCGGGGCUACUCGUCUGAUCUCUGAA
rnacentral:rRNA from 1 species